ACCUUCGGGCCUCUUGCCAUCAGAUGUGCCCAGAUGGGAUUAGCUUGUUGGUGAGGUAACGGCUCACCAAGGCGACGAUCCCUAGCUGGUCUGAGAGGAUGACCAGCCACACUGGAACUGAGACACGGUCCAGACUCCUACGGGAGGCAGCAGUGGGGAAUAUUGCACAAUGGGCGCAAGCCUGAUGCAGCCAUGCCGCGUGUAUGAAGAAGGCCUUCGGGUUGUAAAGUACUUUCAGCGGGGAGGAAGGUGUUGUGGUUAAUAACCGCAGCAAUUGACGUUACCCGCAGAAGAAGCACCGGCUAACUCCGUGCCAGCAGCCGCGGUAAUACGGAGGGUGCAAGCGUUAAUCGGAAUUACUGGGCGUAAAGCGCACGCAGGCGGUCUGUCAAGUCGGAUGUGAAAUCCCCGGGCUCAACCUGGGAACUGCAUUCGAAACUGGCAGGCUUGAGUCUUGUAGAGGGGGGUAGAAUUCCAGGUGUAGCGGUGAAAUGCGUAGAGAUCUGGAGGAAUACCGGUGGCGAAGGCGGCCCCCUGGACAAAGACUGACGCUCAGGUGCGAAAGCGUGGGGAGCAAACAGGAUUAGAUACCCUGGUAGUCCACGCCGUAAACGAUGUCUACUUGGAGGUUGUGCCCUUGAGGCGUGGCUUCCGGAGCUAACGCGUUAAGUAGACCGCCUGGGGAGUACGGCCGCAAGGUUAAAACUCAAAUGAAUUGACGGGGGCCCGCACAAGCGGUGGAGCAUGUGGUUUAAUUCGAUGCAACGCGAAGAACCUUACCUGGUCUUGACAUCCACGGAACUUUCCAGAGAUGGAUUGGUGCCUUCGGGAACCGUGAGACAGGUGCUGCAUGGCUGUCGUCAGCUCGUGUUGUGAAAUGUUGGGUUAAGUCCCGCAACGAGCGCAACCCUUAUCCUUUGUUGCCAGCGGUCCGGCCGGGAACUCAAAGGAGACUGCCAGUGAUAAACUGGAGGAAGGUGGGGAUGACGUCAAGUCAUCAUGGCCCUUACGACCAGGGCUACACACGUGCUACAAUGGCGCAUACAAAGAGAAGCGACCUCGCGAGAGCAAGCGGACCUCAUAAAGUGCGUCGUAGUCCGGAUUGGAGUCUGCAACUCGACUCCAUGAAGUCGGAAUCGCUAGUAAUCGUGGAUCAGAAUGCCACGGUGAAUACGUUCCCGGGCCUUGUACACACCGCCCGUCACACCAUGGGAGUGGGUUGCAAAAGAAGUAGGUAGCUUAACCUUCGGGAGGGCGCUUACCACUUUGUGAUUCAUGACUGGGGUGAAGUCGUAACAAGGUAACCGUAGGGGAACCUGCGGUUGGAUCACCUCCUUACCUUAAAGAA
rnacentral:rRNA from 1 species